CCUACGGGAGGCAGCAGUGGGGAAUAUUGGGCAAUGGGCGCAAGCCUGACCCAGCCCCGCCGCGUGCCGGAAGAAGGCUUUCGGGUUGUAAACUUCUUUUGUCAGGGACGAAGCAAGUGACGGUACCUGACGAAUAAGCCACGGCUAACUAAGUGCCAGCAGCCGCGGUAAUACGUAGGUGGCAAGCGUUAUCCGGAUUUAUUGGGUGUAAAGGGCGUGUAGGCGGGAAUGCAAGUCAGAUGUGAAAACUAUGGGCUCAACCCAUAGCCUGCAUUUGAAACUGUAUUUCUUGAGUGCUGGAGAGGCAAUCGGAAUUCCGUGUGUAGCGGUGAAAUGCGUAGAUAUACGGAGGAACACCAGUGGCGAAGGCGGAUUGCUGGACAGUAACUGACGCUGAGGCGCGAAAGCGUGGGGAGCAAACAGGAUUAGAUACCCUUGUAGUC
rnacentral:rRNA from 1 species